rnacentral:rRNA from 1 species
UACGUAGGGCGCAAGCGUUGUCCGGAAUCAUUGGGCGUAAAGCGCGCGUAGGCGGCCCGGUAAGUCCGCUGUAAAAGUCCAGGGCUCAACCCUGGAAAGCCGGUGGAUACUGUCGGGCUAGAGUCCGGAAGAGGCGAGUGGAAUUCCUGGUGUAGCGGUGAAAUGCGCAGAUAUCAGGAGGAACACCGGUGGCGAAGGCGGGUCUCUGGGCCGAUACUGACGCUGGAGGAGCGAAAGCGUGGGGAGCGAACAGG